rnacentral:rRNA from 1 species
UGCCAGCCGCCGCGGUAAUACAGAGGGUGCAAGCGUUAAUCGGAAUUACUGGGCGUAAGCGCGCGUAGGUGGUCCAGUAAGAUGGAAGUGAAAUCCCCGGGCUUAACCUGGGAACUGCUUUCAUAACUGCUGAGCUAGAGUACGGUAGAGGGUAGUGGAAUUUCCUGUGUAGCGGUGAAAUGCGUAGAUAUAGGAAGGAACACCAGUGGCGAAGGCGGCUAACUGGACCGGAACUGACGCUGAUGCACGAAAGCGUGGGUAGCAAACAGGAUUAGAUA